AACAAAGAAGUAAAAUUUUACAUUUAGUUUCGACCUAAAAUUAAAGAAUUAGUUUCUUCAUGUUU
rnacentral:tRNA from 1 species